UGCGAGAGCGGGGCGGGCGCCUGAGGAGGUGGGCGCGCGGGGAAGGAGCGUGGCGCCCCCGGGCCGCACGGGCCGCGCGAGGCGGAAGCUUGGGCGGGAGGCCGGAGGCGGGGCCGCCACGCUGAGUCACGCAGGAUUGACCCGCCCGCCGCUUCCAGGGGCGGAGGUGACAGCGGGCCUGGGACAGGCGGCCGUAGCUGCCCGCCGCGCCAAGGGACCGCCAGGCGGCGGAGAGCAGGUCAAGGGCCGGGCGAGGCCGGGCGAGGAGCCCGGGGUCGCUGUCCGGGGACGGCGGGCGGAAGGGACCCGCGCCCCGAGGAACGCGCCGGGCGGCCAGGCCUGCGCCCCCCUGCCCCGCCGCGGCCGCUGCCCCGGCCGGGAGCCCCCGAGGGGCAGCAGGGCGCCGGGCCCUCGUCGGAGUUCUCCGGUCCAGGUUAUAAAAGAUGGAGGCCGGCUCAGUGGUUCGAGCCAUCUUUGACUUCUGCCCUAGCGUAUCAGAAGAACUGCCACUCUUUGUGGGAGAUGUUAUUGAGGUGUUGGCAGUGGUGGAUGAAUUUUGGCUUCUAGGAAAGAAAGAGGAUGUGACAGGACAGUUCCCCAGCAGUUUUGUGGAAGUUGUUACCAUUCCCAGUCUAAAAGAGGGCGAGAGACUGUUUGUCUGUAUCUGUGAAUUUACAUCCCUAGAAUUGAACAGACUUUCCCUCCAUCGAGGUGACCUAGUGGUUCUCGAUGGCACUCCCACUGCCGGCUGGCUGCAGGGCCGGAGCUGCUGGGGUGCCCGGGGCUUCUUCCCGUCCUCAUGUGUUAGGGAGCUCUGCCUCUCCUCACAGAGUCGGCAGUGGCACUCACAGAGUGCCCUUCUCCAGAUUCCCGAGUAUUCAAUGGGACAAGCCCGGGCACUGAUGGGGCUCUCUGCCCAGCUGGAUGAGGAGCUGGACUUCAGAGAAGGGGAUGUGAUUACCAUUAUUGGAGUUCCUGAACCAGGCUGGUUUGAAGGGGAGUUAGAGGGUCGAAGAGGCAUUUUUCCGGAAGGUUUUGUAGAGCUUUUGGGGCCCCUGAGGACUGUGGAUGAGUCAGUAAGUUCUGGAAAUUGCGAUGACUGCAUUACUAACGGUGAAGUAGAUACCAACACAGGAGAAGAGAGACAGCCAGAAGAGGAAGGCGAGCAGCCAGCCACCUACGGGAUUGCCCUCUACAGAUUCCAAGCCCUGGAGCCAAAUGAGUUGGAUUUCGAAGUAGGCGAUAAAAUCCGAAUCCUGGGGACCCUGGAAGAUGGCUGGCUAGAAGGAUCACUGAAGGGCAGGACAGGCAUCUUUCCUUACCGCUUUGUAAAGUUAUGUCCUCAAGCAAGGGUGGAGGAAACCAUGGAUCUGCCGCAGGAAAGCAGCCUCACCAACAUCCCUGACACAUCUUUGGAUUGUUCGGAGAACUCCUUAGAAGUGGAAGGAACAAGACAUGAAUCUCCUGAGUAUAAAGCAGAGAAGUCCAACUCAGUUAUUUCUGAAACAUCCACUUCCCCAUUGGAGCAUCUGACUUCUGAGUAUGAAGAAGACAAAAACUCUCACUGGAACACGGGCACCUCAGAAGGGCCCCCAAGAAGCACAGGUUCAGGGCACGAACAGCUUCUUGCCAAAUACUCUUCCACAAAGGAUCCUUCAGAGGUGGUCAAUGGUGUUGCGUCCCAAACUCCAGUACCUUUUCAUCCCGAAUUGCAGAAAAACCAGUAUUAUUCUAUAGGAGGAGGAAGCAACCCGUGCCCCGACCAGUACUCUGACCCUCUUCCUCUAGAAGCAAGGACUAGAGACUACUGCAGCCUACCUCCCAGAAGAACAUACUCCCAGCCGAAAACCCUUCAGAAGCCAGUGCCACCUCUUCACAGCACCUUUUCCCGUUUAGCCUCCAGGGCAGUCAGACCCAGCCAGUUGAGCCCUCAACUCCAGGGCAUGGCGCGGUGUGUGAAAAAGCACCUCACACCCAAAGAAAAUGCUUCCAGCUUUUGCUCUGCAUCAGAGAGAUCAGAGAUGAAGCCUGGUCUGCAAGACAAGGCACCUGCUGUGGAAGCAAUGGCACUUUCACAGGGAGACGGCAACACGGACCUGGAUUCUAAGUUGACACAACAACUGAUAGAGUUUGAGAAGAGCUUGUCAGGGCUCGGCACAGAACCAGAUAAAAUUUUGCGCCACUUUUCAAUCAUGGACUUUAACUCCGAAAAGGAUAUUUUCCGAGGUUCCUCGAAGCUAAUCAUCCAGCAGGAGCUGCCCGAGAGGAGAAAGGCUCUAAGGCCACCGCCACCCCGUCCCUGUACUCCAGCAUCCACUGCUCCCCAUUUGCCAGUGGACCAGAACCUGAGACCGGAACCACCCUUGGCAAUGCGACCCUCUCGCCCCGCUCCCCUGCCUCCCUCGGCCCAGCAGAGAACGAAUGCAGUACCCCCCAAGCUCCUAACCUGUAACCGUCCUGGCUGGGAGACCCUAGAAAAGGAGGGCCCUGAGAACGUGGAGAAGACUUUGGACCAGACUUCCCAGUGUCCCUUAGUCUUGGUGAGGAUUCAGGAGAUGGAACAGGACUUGGAUAUGUGCUGCAGGGCUCAAGAAGAGCUGAACUUACUGUUGGAGGAGAAGCAAGAGGAAUCACUAAGGGCAGAGACCCCUGAGAAUCUUGAGUUCUACGAGAGUAACAUUGAGAGUUUGAACAUGGAACUCCAGCAACUUAGAGAAAUGACACUCCUCUCCUCCCAGUCUUCAGCACUAGUGGCCCCUUCUGGAUCUGUGUCCACUGAAAGCCCAGAGCAGAGGAUGCUGGAGAAGAGAGCCAAGGUGAUAGAGGAACUUCUUCAGACGGAGAGAGACUACAUUCGGGAUCUGGAAAUGUGUAUCGAGCGGAUCAUGGUACCCCUGCAGCAGGCUCAGAUACCAAACAUUGAUUUUGAGGGACUUUUUGGAAAUAUGCAGAUGGUGAUUAAGGUCUCAAAGCAAUUAUUGGCUGAUCUGGAAAUCAGCGAUGCCAUAGGACCGGUGUUUCUUGAUCACCGAGAUGAGCUUGAAGGAACAUACAAGGUUUAUUGCCAGAAUCAUGAUGAGGCCAUCUCAUUGCUGGAAAUAUAUGAGAAGGAUGAGAAGAUCCAGAAGCAUCUUCAGGACUCCUUGGCAGAUCUUAAGAGCCUGUACAAUGAAUGGGGAUGCACAAAUUAUAUUAACCUGGGCUCCUUCCUCAUCAAACCAGUGCAGAGAGUAAUGCGCUACCCACUGCUGCUGAUGGAGUUGCUGAAUUCCACCCCCGAAUCCCACCCAGAUAAAGUGCCUUUAACCAAUGCAGUCCUUGCAGUCAAGGAAAUCAACGUUAACAUUAAUGAAUAUAAACGUCGAAAGGACCUGGUCCUCAAGUACCGAAAGGGUGAUGAAGAUAGUCUCAUGGAGAAAAUUUCCAAACUGAACAUCCACUCCAUCAUCAAGAAAUCCAACCGGGUUAGCAGUCACCUGAAGCACCUCACCGGCUUUGCCCCACAGAUUAAAGAUGAAGUAUUUGAAGAAACAGAGAAAAACUUCCGAAUGCAAGAAAGAUUGAUCAAAUCUUUUAUCCGAGACCUGUCUCUCUACCUCCAGCAUAUCCGGGAAUCGGCAUGUGUGAAGGUGGUGGCUGCCGUGAGCAUGUGGGAUGUGUGCAUGGAGAAGGGACACAGAGACUUGGAACAGUUCGAGAAGGUGCAUCGCUACAUCAGUGACCAGCUCUUCACAAAUUUUAAGGAGAGGACAGAGCGGCUGGUCAUCUCUCCCCUGAAUCAGUUACUGAGCAUGUUCACGGGGCCCCACAAGCUGGUGCAGAAACGCUUUGACAAGCUUCUGGACUUCUAUAACUGUACAGAACGGGCAGAGAAGCUGAAGGACAAAAAGACCCUGGAGGAGCUGCAGUCGGCCCGGAACAACUACGAGGCCCUGAACGCCCAGCUGCUGGACGAGCUGCCCAAGUUCCAUCAGUACGCGCAGGGCCUCUUCAGCAACUGUGUGCAUGGCUACGCCGAGGCCCACUGUGACUUCGUGCGCCAGGCGCUGGAGCAGCUGAAGCCGUUGCUCUCGUUACUCAAAGUCACCGGCAGGGAAGGGAACCUGAUUGCCGUCUUCCAUGAGGAGCACAGCAGGGUCCUGCAGCAACUCCAGGUUUUCACCUUCUUCCCAGAGUCUCUUCCUGCCACCAAGAGGUCACUUGAGAGGAAAACUAUGGACCGCCAGUCCACCCGAAAGCCAUUCCUGGGCCUGCCAAGUUACAUGCUUCAGUCGGAAGAACUCCGGACCUCCCUCUUGGCAAGGUAUCCCCCUGAAAAGCUCUUCCAAGCAGAACGGAACUUCAAUGCUGCCCAGGACCUGGACGUCUCACUUCUGGAAGGCGACCUGGUGGGCGUGAUCAAGAAAAAGGACCCCAUGGGCAGCCAGAACCGCUGGCUGAUUGACAAUGGAGAUACGUGCCCAGGAGUGGGAUUGCUGGAUCAUAUGGUAGCUUUAUUUUUAGUUUUUUUAAGGAAACGCCAUACUAUUCUCCACAGUGGUUGCUAGGUGCUUUUUUUUUUUUUAGUAUUUGUUUAUUUAGGCUGCGCCAGGUCUUAGUUGCGGCACGUGGGAUCUUUGUUGCGUCAUGUUUAGUUGUGGCAUGUGGGCUCUUAGUUGUGGCACGUGGACUCCUUAGUUGCGGCACGUGGACUCCUUAGUUGCGGCAUGCGGACUCCUUAGUUGUGGCAUGCAUGUGGGAUCUAGUUCCCCGAUCAGGGAUCGAACCCAGGCCCCCUGCAUUGGGAGCAUGGAGUCUUACCCACUGGACCACCAGGGAAGUCCCUAGGUGAUUUUUUAAGUGUGGUCUUCAGACCAGCAGCAUCACCAUCCGUGUACCCUGGGAGCUCGCUGGAAAUGCAGGCCCCACCCCAGGCCUACUGCAUCAAGUUUACCAGGUGAUGUGUGUGCAUGUUAUAUUUGAGAAGCACCUGUGUAGGCAGUUAUUUUUAGUAGAACUUUCUACUGUUGGAAAAGUAGGAAUUACAAAAACCAAGGAAGGAAAGGGUGUCAGAUGUUUCCUGCACAACAGAAGGAAAUGCUGAAGAAAAUUUCCAAAUCCAGUUUGCCUGCUUGCUUCCUGUCAUGAAUUUGCUCCCUUUCCUGCCUGGAGAUAGCUCUUCAGUUAUGCUUUCUCCCAAGUGUCCUCGGAGAACAGGGAGUGGUGGUGGGAAUCUAUCAUCAUCUGAAACGUGUAGAUUUCUGACCUCCCUCUCAAGAUUGUUGUGAGAACAAAUAAGAUGAUUCUGCAAAUUUUUGUGAACUGUGAGUUCUAGAAAUACAUGGUUUUAGUAAAGAUUGAAUUUUGUGUCACCCUUUUAAUUAGUUGUGAAGCUGGAACUCUGUGUGCAUUUUGUUUCAGGGUCAGGAGUACAAACAGGCUCUAGAAGAACACGGUGUGCUCUGAAUUGUGUUUCAUUUGCAGAACCUUAGGCCUGAGGACCGAGAAACCUUGAGCAUCAUAUACUUAAUUCUAAAUCCUCUCUCUGGUCGCUACACACAACUCAGGAUUUUAAACUCUCCCAUCUAUUAGUACAUCAUAUUGAUGAAGUUUGUACUGUUUCACCUGGGCUGGGUGUGGCGGACAUUCAGUGCCACAGAGCAGGGAUGAUCAUCUCCAAUCUCCAAUUUGCGCUGCUUUGUUUCAUCCAGCCCACUGUGAUUGUUAGUGAAGAUCAGUAGUAGUGUUUUGUGAGUAUCAAUAAGGGAGUUUUCUACAACAGAUUGCAGGCUUUGCAAGCUGCAUAGGAAUAUCUAUUCCUUAGUACCACUCAGAGGUGACCCUGAAGGAGCAGGUAGUGCUUUCCCAGAGGUAAGUUGUGCUGUGGUGGUAGGAGCGAGCAAUGUGUUCAUUCGGGAACGUUUAUUGCUAGCAGGCAGGUGCAUGGGACUCAGCAGCAGACCGUGGGGGUCUGCAGACUCAGCAGGACCAUGUCACAAGGCACUGCCUGUGCACCACCCGCCUGGGUGUCCCCUGGGACUUCAAGAGGAGUCAAGCGCUAAUCCUUCCCCGUGGCAGCCCUUCCCCAGCUCCAGGAUCAGGGAAGCUGAGAGUGAAAGAUUACCGAUCUGUCAUGGCCGCCUCCUGUCGUCAGAAUCACUGUGACUCAUUUGAACAAAGGACCUUCCUGCAGCCUCUCAGGCUACAACGCAGCGAGAAUGACUGAACAGCGCCUAUCUGCACCAACUUGGAUUCCAUGUGGAAUACUGAACAAAAUAGACUUAUACUGCAUAUAUUCUUAUACUAUUUACGUUCGUUUUAUGCAUUAGGAAUUAGACCUGGAGAGUGAAAAUUCUUUGAUGCCAGGCGCCACCAUGCAUGAGUAACAAAAGUAGUGGUCCCGGGCUUCACUGGUGGCGCAGUGGUUGAGAGUCUGCCUGCCAAUGCAGGGGACACGGGUUCGAGCCCUGGUCUGGGAAGAUCCCACAUGCCGCAGAGCAACUGGGUCCGUGAGCCACAACUACUGAGCCUGCGCGUCUGGAGCUUGUGCUCCACAACAAGAGAGGCCGCGACGGUGAGAGGCUCGCUCACCGCGAUGAAGAGUGGCCCCUGCUCGCCGCAACUAGAGAAAGCCCUCGCACAGAAACGAAGACCCAACACAGCCAAAAAUAAAUAAAUAAAUAAAUAAAUAAAAUUUUUUUAAAAGUAGUGGUCCCCUCGCCUCCUCCACAGCCUGUGGGGGAAGUGGGUUAUGAAACAUUACCUCAGGUUGUCACCGCCCUCUGUCACUUCGUAGGACAACCCAGCUUGCAGGCCAUCCACGAAAGAUUUGAGGUGAGCAAGCUCCAAGGCCUUCCAAAUCUCCUCGUCUGAGUAGUUGUUGAAAGGGUCUAGAUUCAUCCUCAGGCUCCCAGAGAACAGGAUGGGAUCCUGCAAGUCAAGGGACGAGGGAGUUACUGGGGCUAAUGUCAGAAAAGGAACCAGUAGGGACUUCCCUGGUGGCACAGUGGUUAAGAAUCCGCCUGCCAAUGCAGGGGACACGGGUUCGAGCCCUGGUCCGGGAAGAUCCCACAUGCUGCGGAGCAACUAAGCCCGUGCGCCACAACUACUGAGCCUGCACUCUAGAGCCCGCGAGCCACAACUACUGAGCUCACGUGCCACAACUACUGCAGCCCACGCACCUAGAGCCUGUGCUCCGCAACAAGAGAAGCCACCGCAAUGAGAACCCCACACACUGCAACGAAGAGUAGCCCCCACUCACCACAAUUAGAGAAA